UGUUGAGCGUGAAGUAAAGAAAAAAAAGUGAUACUGAUCAAUAAUGAUGAUAAUGAUUAUUUAUGUUAUGAUUCGUCCUCGAUGUUACAGAAAAAACCGUGUUUAAUAAAAAUUUAAUUUGGACAAACGAAGUAUGUAUCGGCACUCACUUUCGUCAUUGGAAUUAUAACCUAGAUGUUGUCGCACGCGCCGGGGACACGACUCGCACGUGCGUAUUAUCGGACGCGUUAAUUAAGGGGUACCUCUAAUUAAACGUGUUGGACGCGAUCCAGCUUUCUGUCGUAAUCUUUGAUCUGUUAACUGGGCGAUUUGUGUAUGCUAGAGUCGAUGCUGGUCGAAGGUACUCGAGAGGAAUUAUUUUAUGGUAAAUAAACGAUGAUUUGUUGAGAAUAGAAUAUUUGUGAGAUGAGCGAGGAUGAUUUGGGACAGUGUUUCUCCGGUUAACAGAUGAAGAAUAUUGUUUAAGAGAUUGUUCUUGAGAAUGAGAUUUUUUGUUUCAUUUAGGGGUUAAGUUAGGAGGUCCUUUGGUGAUGAUCCAUUUUUUAUCACUGCCAUUCAAUUUAACGAACGUGGAGAUAUUGUUUUCGACGCAACGUCGAAGGUAGAAGUUGAGAUGUUUCUGUGCGUAGGGAGAAAUUGGGAGACGAAUUAUUGAUCGAUGUAGCUUACUUCCGUUGAGGUUGGUCACUUUGAAUGAGUUUCGACUUGUUAACCGGGGAUGGAGGUCGUUGACACGUUGAUUGCUGUGAUGGUCGUCGGUGAUUGGUAUGAUACACAUCUUUGGAACAAUGACAAUACCUUGUCCAACGUAUUGAUAAAUCAUCAGAAAACUUCACGAAAUGGAAAAGAUAAAGUAUCUGAUUGAAUUGCAUUGUUAAUAUUGCACGUUCAGCUGAAUGCCACUGCACAAGGUACCAUUAUUUAGAACAUAGAAAUCUCAAACUAUUGCAAUUCAAUUUAGUUGUGGCCAUCAUGGCAUUCAAUGUGUCAAUAAUUAUUUCCAAUACCAUUUGCCUUUGUUACAAAAGAACAUGUAUUUCUAAAUUCGAAAUUCUCGUGGCAGUCAACGUAUUAACCCUCUAUAGGACCACGUAACUUUCAAGUCACACUAUAUUAGCAUCCUGUUUAACUUCAUCUUGCAAAGUAAUGAAUCAAAUUAUGUAAUUAACUACAAUAAUUAUGUAAUUAUGUAAUUAACUUCAAACUACCAAAUAUAUUGUUAACACGUUCGCGGACAGUAAGACUGAAAAAAUUGGAAAUAAUCCAGCUUUCUGUCGUAAUCUCUAAUUAACUAGGUAAUUACUGCUAUAAAACUCUAAUGACUCUGAUCGGAGGUAAACGAAUAUUCGACACAAAUUACUUUACGGCGGAUAAACAAGAAUAAUUCUCCAAGAGUAGAACACAAUAAAAAUAAUCUUCAUA